GGUUAAGCGACUAAGCGUACACGGUGGAUGCCCGGCAGUCAGAGGCGAUGAAGGGCGUGCUAAUCUGCGAUAAGCGCCGGUAAGGUGAUAUGAACCGUUAUAACCGGCGAUACCCGAAUGGGGAAACCCAGUGUGAUUCGUCACACUAUCAUUAACUGAAUCCAUAGGUUAAUGAGGCGAACCGGGGAACUGAAACAUCUAAGUACCCCGAGGAAAAGAAAUCAACCGAGAUUCCCCAGUAGCGGCGAGCGAACGGGGAGGAGCCCAGAGCCUGAAUCAGCAUGUGUGUUAGUGGAAGCGUCUGGAAAGGCGCGCGAUACAGGGUGACAGCCCCGUACACAAAAGCGCAUGUGCUGUGAGCUCGAUGAGUAGGGCGGGACACGUGGUAUCCUGUCUGAAUAUGGGGGACCAUCCUCCAAGGCUAAAUACUCCUGACUGACCGAUAGUGAACCAGUACCGUGAGGGAAAGGCGAAAAGAACCCCGGCGAGGGGAGUGAAAAAGAACCUGAAACCGUGUACGUACAAGCAGUGGGAGCCCCACCACUAAGCCAGUGGUGAACUCCACAUACGCAUCCUUUGCUGAGGAUACGGUUAACGGAGCGAAAGCGACGUUCAACCGCAAAAGAAGCAGAGGGGGCUUAGUGGUGGGGUGACUGCGUACCUUUGUAUAAUGGGUCAGCGACUUAUAUUCUGUAGCAAGGUUAACCGUAUAGGGAGCCGGAGGGAAACCGAGUCUUAAUUGGGCGUUAAGUUGCAGGGUAUAGACCCGAAACCCGGUGAUCUAGCCAUGGGCAGGUUGAAGGUUGGGUAACACUAACUGGAGGACCGAACCGACUAAUGUUGAAAAAUUAGCGGAUGACCUGUGGCUGGGGGUGAAAGGCCAAUCAAACCGGGAGAUAGCUGGUUCUCCCCGAAAGCUAUUUAGGUAGCGCCUCGUGAACUCAUCUCCGGGGUAGAGCACUGUUUCGGCUAGGGGCCAUCCCGGCUUACCAACCCGAUGCAAACUGCGAAUACCGGAGAAUGUUAUCACGGGAGACACACGGCGGGUGCUAACGUCCGUCGUGAAGAGGGAAACAACCCAGACCGCCAGCUAAGGUCCCAAAGUCAUGGUUAAGUGGGAAACGAUGUGGGAAGGCCCAGACAGCCGGGAUGUUGGCUUAGAAGCAGCCAUCAUUUAAAGAAAGCGUAAUAGCUCACUGGUCGAGUCGGCCUGCGCGGAAGAUGUAACGGGCUAAACCAUGCACCGAAGCUGCGGCAGCGACACUGUGUGUUGUUGGGUAGGGGAGCGUUCUGUAAGCCUGUGAAGGUGUGUCGUGAGGCAUGCUGGAGGUAUCAGAAGUGCGAAUGCUGACAUAAGUAACGAUAAAGCGGGUGAAAAGCCCGCUCGCCGGAAGACCAAGGGUUCCUGUCCAACGUUAAUCGGGGCAGGGUGAGUCGACCCUAAGGCGAGGCCGAAAGGCGUAGUCGAUGGGAAACGGGUUAAUAUUCCCGUACUUGGUGUUACUGCGAAGGGGGACGGAGAAGGCUAUGUUGGCCGGGCGACGGUUGUCCCGGUUUAAGCGUGUAGGCUGGUUUUCCGCAAAUCCGGAAAAUCAAGGCUGAGGCGUGAUGACGAGGCACUACGGUGCUGAAGCAACAAAUGCCCUGCUUCCAGGAAAAGCCUCUAAGCAUCAGGUAACAUCAAAUCGUACCCCAAACCGACACAGGUGGUCAGGUAGAGAAUACCAAGGCGCUUGAGAGAACUCGGGUGAAGGAACUAGGCAAAAUGGUGCCGUAACUUCGGGAGAAGGCACGCUGACACGUAGGUGAAGUGAUUUACUCACGGAGCUGAAGUCAGUCGAAGAUACCAGCUGGCUGCAACUGUUUAUUAAAAACACAGCACUGUGCAAACACGAAAGUGGACGUAUACGGUGUGACGCCUGCCCGGUGCCGGAAGGUUAAUUGAUGGGGUCAGCGCAAGCGAAGCUCCUGAUCGAAGCCCCGGUAAACGGCGGCCGUAACUAUAACGGUCCUAAGGUAGCGAAAUUCCUUGUCGGGUAAGUUCCGACCUGCACGAAUGGCGUAAUGAUGGCGGGCUGUCUCCACCCGAGACUCAGUGAAAUUGAACUCGCUGUGAAGAUGCAGUGUACCCGCGGCAAGACGGAAAGACCCCGUGAACCUUUACUAUAGCUUGACACUGAACAUUGAGCCUUGAUGUGUAGGAUAGGUGGGAGGCUUUGAAGUGUGGACGCCAGUCUGCAUGGAGCCGACCUUGAAAUACCACCCUUUAAUGUUUGAUGUUCUAACGUGGACCCGUUACCCGGGUUGCGGACAGUGUCUGGUGGGUAGUUUGACUGGGGCGGUCUCCUCCUAAAGAGUAACGGAGGAGCACGAAGGUUGGCUAAUCUGGUCGGACAUCAGGAGGUUAGUGCAAUGGCAUAAGCCAGCUUGACUGCGAGCGUGACGGCGCGAGCAGGUGCGAAAGCAGGUCAUAGUGAUCCGGUGGUUCUGAAUGGAAGGGCCAUCGCUCAACGGAUAAAAGGUACUCCGGGGAUAACAGGCUGAUACCGCCCAAGAGUUCAUAUCGACGGCGGUGUUUGGCACCUCGAUGUCGGCUCAUCACAUCCUGGGGCUGAAGUAGGUCCCAAGGGUAUGGCUGUUCGCCAUUUAAAGUGGUACGCGAGCUGGGUUUAGAACGUCGUGAGACAGUUCGGUCCCUAUCUGCCGUGGGCGCUGGAGAACUGAGGGGGCUGCUCCUAGUACGAGAGGACCGGAGUGGACGCAUCACUGGUGUUCGGGUUGUCAUGCCAAUGGCACUGCCCGGUAGCUAAAUGCGGAAGAGAUAAGUGCUGAAAGCAUCUAAGCACGAAACUUGCCCCGAGAUGAGUUCUCCCUGAGACUUAGAGUCUCCUGAAGGAACGUUGAAGACGACGACGUUGAUAGGCCGGGUGUGUAAGCGCAGCGAUGCGUUGAGCUAACCGGUACUAAUGAACCGUGAGGCUUAACCUU
rnacentral:rRNA from 1 species